rnacentral:rRNA from 1 species
GACGAACGCUGGCGGCGUGCUUAACACAUGCAAGUCGAACGGUGAAGCGCCUUCCUUUUUGGUGGGUGUGGAUGAGUGGCGAACGGGUGAGUAACACGUGAGUAACCUGCCCCCUUCUUCUGGAUAACCGCAUGAAAGUGUGGCUAAUACGGGAUAUUCUGGGUCUGUCGCAUGAUGGGUCUGGGAAAGAUAUUGUUUCGGUGGGGGAUGGGCUCGCGGCCUAUCAGCUUGUUGGUGGGGUGAUGGCCUACCAAGGCGGUGACGGGUAGCCGGCCUGAGAGGGUGGACGGUCACACUGGGACUGAGACACGGCCCAGACUCCUACGGGAGGCAGCAGUGGGGAAUAUUGCACAAUGGGCGGAAGCCUGAUGCAGCGACGCCGCGUGAGGGAUGGAGGCCUUCGGGUUGUGAACCUCUUUCGCCAGUGAAGCAGGCCUGCCUCGUUUGUGGGUGGGUUGACAGUAGCUGGAUAAGAAGCGCCGGCUAACUACGUG